UCAGAUUGAACGCUGGCGGCAGGCCUAACACAUGCAAGUCGAGCGGAAACGAGUUAUCUGAACCUUCGGGGAACGAUAACGGCGUCGAGCGGCGGACGGGUGAGUAAUGCCUAGGAAAUUGCCCUGAUGUGGGGGAUAACCAUUGGAAACGAUGGCUAAUACCGCAUGAUGCCUACGGGCCAAAGAGGGGGACCUUCGGGCCUCUCGCGUCAGGAUAUGCCUAGGUGGGAUUAGCUAGUUGGUGAGGUAAGGGCUCACCAAGGCGACGAUCCCUAGCUGGUCUGAGAGGAUGAUCAGCCACACUGGAACUGAGACACGGUCCAGACUCCUACGGGAGGCAGCAGUGGGGAAUAUUGCACAAUGGGCGCAAGCCUGAUGCAGCCAUGCCGCGUGUGUGAAGAAGGCCUUCGGGUUGUAAAGCACUUUCAGUCGUGAGGAAGGUAGUGUAGUUAAUAGCUGCAUUAUUUGACGUUAGCGACAGAAGAAGCACCGGCUAACUCCGUGCCAGCAGCCGCGGUAAUACGGAGGGUGCGAGCGUUAAUCGGAAUUACUGGGCGUAAAGCGCAUGCAGGUGGUUUGUUAAGUCAGAUGUGAAAGCCCGGGGCUCAACCUCGGAAUAGCAUUUGAAACUGGCAGACUAGAGUACUGUAGAGGGGGGUAGAAUUUCAGGUGUAGCGGUGAAAUGCGUAGAGAUCUGAAGGAAUACCGGUGGCGAAGGCGGCCCCCUGGACAGAUACUGACACUCAGAUGCGAAAGCGUGGGGAGCAAACAGGAUUAGAUACCCUGGUAGUCCACGCCGUAAACGAUGUCUACUUGGAGGUUGUGGCCUUGAGCCGUGGCUUUCGGAGCUAACGCGUUAAGUAGACCGCCUGGGGAGUACGGUCGCAAGAUUAAAACUCAAAUGAAUUGACGGGGGCCCGCACAAGCGGUGGAGCAUGUGGUUUAAUUCGAUGCAACGCGAAGAACCUUACCUACUCUUGACAUCCAGAGAACUUUCCAGAGAUGGAUUGGUGCCUUCGGGAACUCUGAGACAGGUGCUGCAUGGCUGUCGUCAGCUCGUGUUGUGAAAUGUUGGGUUAAGUCCCGCAACGAGCGCAACCCUUAUCCUUGUUUGCCAGCGAGUAAUGUCGGGAACUCCAGGGAGACUGCCGGUGAUAAACC
rnacentral:rRNA from 1 species